AAAAUAUAUAUAAGUUGGAAAUAAGAAAAAGAGUCCAUUUGGUAAAUAAAAGGUUUUCACGUGAGAACAGAGAAGCGGCUCAAAAAGAGGAAAAGGGCAAAGAGCAGAGCAAGAGGAAGAAGGUUGGAGAAGAGAAAAGCUUGAAGCUUAAAGAUUCGCCGGAUUAACUCAGGUAACGAGCAGUGAUUGAGUAGGAGCUAGUGCUUGGAGUCUAGUGUAGUUCCUUAGUGGGUCAUGCUCUGGUAGAUGUAACAUCGGGAUGGGAUGUUUUAAAUGUUUCUUGUUGGUUGUGAACCAGUUACAUGUAAUAUGCUACAUGUUUUGAAUGAUCGAUUUGAUCUCUA